AUUGAACGCUGGCGGCAGGCCUAACACAUGCAAGUCGAGCGGAUGAAGGGAGCUUGCUCCUGGAUUCAGCGGCGGACGGGUGAGUAAUGCCUAGGAAUCUGCCUGGUAGUGGGGGAUAACGUCCGGAAACGGGCGCUAAUACCGCAUACGUCCUGAGGGAGAAAGUGGGGGAUCUUCGGACCUCACGCUAUCAGAUGAGCCUAGGUCGGAUUAGCUAGUUGGUGGGGUAAAGGCCUACCAAGGCGACGAUCCGUAACUGGUCUGAGAGGAUGAUCAGUCACACUGGAACUGAGACACGGUCCAGACUCCUACGGGAGGCAGCAGUGGGAAAUAUUGGACAAUGGGCGAAAGCCUGAUCCAGCCAUGCCGCGUGUGUGAAGAAGGUCUUCGGAUUGUAAAGCACUUUAAGUUGGGAGGAAGGGCAGUAAGUUAAUACCUUGCUGUUUUGACGGUACCAACAGAAUAAGCACCGGCUAACUUCGUG
rnacentral:rRNA from 1 species